rnacentral:tRNA from 2 species
GCCCGCCUGGCGAAAUUGGCAGACGCACCUGGCUUAGGUCCAGACGCCGCAAGGCAUUGUCGGUUCGAGUCCGACGGUGGGCACCA